CCCGCUGAACUUAAGCAUAUCAAUAAGCGGAGGAAAAGAAACUAACAAGGAUUCCCCUAGUAACUGCGAGUGAAGCGGGAAAAGCUCAAAUUUAAAAUCUGGUAGUCUUUGACUGCCCGAGUUGUAAUCUAGAGAAGUGUUUUCUGUGCUGGACUGUGUACAAGUUUCCUGGAUACGGAACAUCAUAGAGGGUGAGAAUCCCGUCCUUGACGCAGGCUCCCAGUGCUUUGUGAUACGCUCUCAACGAGUCGAGUUGUUUGGGAUUGCAGCUCAAAAUGGGAGGUAAAUUCCUUCUAAAGCUAAAUAUUGGCGAGAGACCGACAGCGAACAAGUACCGUGAGGGAAAGAUGAAAAGAACUUUGGAAAGAGAGUUAAACAGUACGUGAAAUUGCUGAAAGGGAAACGCUUGAAGUCAGUCGCGUCGUCCAGGGAUCAACCUUGCUUUUGCCUGGUGCACUUCCUGGUUUGACGGGUCAGCAUCAAUUUUGAUCAUUGGAAAAAGGCUAAGGGAAUGUGGCAUCUUUGGAUGUGUUAUAGCCCUUGGUCACAUACAAUGGUUGGGAUUGAGGAACUCAGCACGCCGCAAGGCCGGGUUUUAAACCACGUACGUGCUUAGGAUGCUGGCAAUAUGGCUUUAAUCGACCCGUCUUGAAACACGG
rnacentral:rRNA from 1 species